rnacentral:rRNA from 1 species
UACGUAGGUGGCAAGCGUUGUCCGGAUUUAUUGGGUCGUAAAGGGAGCGCAGGUGGUUUCUUAAGUCUGAUGUGAAAGCCCACGGCUUAACCGUGGAGGGUCAUUGGAAACUGGGGAACUUGAGUGCAGAAGAGGAAAGUGGAAUUCCAAAGUGUAGCGGUGGAAUGCGUAGAUAUUUGGAGGAACACCAGUGGCGAAGGCGACUUUCUGGUCUGUAACUGACACUGAGGCUCGAAAGCGUGGGGAGCGAACAGGGAUUAGAUACCCGCGUAGUCCCUGAG